ensembl:lncRNA
CUUACUAGGACCCCUGCCCUAUAAGGAUCCCCAAAUCCUGAGCAAUAGGGUCCCCAGUGCUCCCAGUAAAAGGGAAAUGGGGGAACUGGGAGCCCCAGUAACAGAUCUAUGGGGCAACUGGGACCGCCAGGAAAAGAUAUAUGGGGUAAACUGGGCUACCAAUAAGCAAAAUUCUGACAUAAAUGACCCAAAAACGCAUUUAUGAGGUAAAUAAAGGCCCUAAAUAACAGAUCUAUGAGGUAAAUUAGGCCUUAUGUGAGGAAAAUCCUGUCAUAAAUGACCCAAAGUGCACUUAUGAGGAAAGUGAGAGGCCCAGUAAGAGAGCUGAGGGUAAAGUGGGCUCCCAGUUAGCAAAAUUCAAACAUAAAUGACCCAAAAACUCAUUUAUGAGGUAAAUUAGGCCCUAAAUAACAGAUCUAUGAGGUAAAUUAGGCCUUAUGUGAGGAAAAUCCUGUCAUAAGUGACCCAAAAUGCACUUAUGAGGUAAGUGAGAGGCCCAGUAAGAGAGUUGUGAGGUAAACUGGGCUCCCAGUAAGAGAUACAUGAGGUAAACUGGGCUCCCAGUAAGAGAUACAUGAGGUAAACUGGGCUCCCAGUAAGCAAAAAUCUGAUAUAACUCACCAACAAUCACAUUUAUGAGGUAAAUAAGGGCCCAAACAACAGAUCUAUGAGGCAAAUUAGACCCUAUGUGAGGAAAAUCCUGUCAUAAGUGACCCAAAGUGCACUUAUGAGGUAAGUGAGAGGCCCAGUAAGAGAGCUGUGAGGUAAACUGGGCUCCCAGUAAGAGAUAUAUGAAGUAAACUGGGAUCCUAGUAAGCAGAAUUCAGACAUAAUUCACCAAAAAUCACAUUUAUGAGGUAAAUAAAGGCCCAAAUAACAGAUCUAUGAGGUAAAUUAGGCCUUAUGUGAGGAAAAUCCUGUCAUAAAUGACCCAAAGUGCACUUAUGAGGUAAGUGAGAGGCCCAGUAAGAGAGCUGUGAGGUACACUGUGCUCCCAGUAAGAGAUAUAUGAGCUAAACUGGUCUCCUAGUAAGCAAAAUUCUGACAUAAAUGACCCAAAAACACAUUUAUGAGGUAAAUAAGGCCCCAAAUAACAGACCUAUGAGGUAAAUUAGGCCCUGUGUGAGAAAACCCCCACCACAGAAGCCCCGUAAGGCCCAGUGUGGUCAAUGGGCUCCCAUUAACUCAGCCUUAGACCCACGGAGACCCCCGGGAACCCAACAUGACGUCACCGAACGGCCCCCAAAUCCCCUUUUUUGAGCUCAUAUCGGUGCCGGCAAUGCGAUUUUGAAUGUAAUUCGUAGCGCUGUGAGGUAACGCGGCCUCCCCUCCCCCCCCACCCUCAGCGUGAGGCCUACGCUCCAACCCGGCCUCCCAGUGCGGGCCUGGGGGGGAACACACAGCAAAGCCAACCCCCCCCCCCCCCCCCAACACCCCGUCCCACAGCAGCCCACAGC